UGGGGAAUUUUGGACAAUGGGGGAAACCCUGAUCCAGCCAUCCCGCGUGUGCGAUGAAGGCCUUCGGGUUGUAAAGCACUUUUGGCAGGAAAGAAACGUCGCGGGUUAAUACCCCGCGAAACUGACGGUACCUGCAGAAUAAGCACCGGCUAACUACGUGCCAGCAGCCGCGGUAAUACGUAGGGUGCAAGCGUUAAUCGGAAUUACUGGGCGUAAAGCGUGCGCAGGCGGUUCGGAAAGAAAGAUGUGAAAUCCCAGAGCUUAACUUUGGGAACUGCAUUUUUAACUACCGGGCUAGAGUGUGUCAGAGGGAGGUGGAAUUCCGCGUGUAGCAGUGAAAUGCGUAGAUAUGCGGAGGAACACCGAUGGCGAAGGCAGCCUCCUGGGAUAACACUGACGCUCAUGCACGAAAGCGUGGGGGAGCAAACAGGAUUAGAUACCCUGGUAGUCCACGCCCUAAACGAUGUCAACUAGCUGUUGGGGGCCUUCGGGCCUUGGUAGCGCAGCUAACGCGUGAAGUUGACCGCCUGGGGAGUACGGUCGCAAGAUUAAAACUCAAAUGAAUUGAC
rnacentral:rRNA from 1 species